rnacentral:rRNA from 1 species
GAUGAACGCUGGCGGCGUGCCUAAUACAUGCAAGUCGAACGCUGGAAAUCUAGCUUGCUAGAUUGAAGGAGUGGCGAACGGGUGAGUAAUACAUAAGCAACCUACCCACGAAGACUGGGAUAAUCUCUGGAAACGGGGACUAAUACCGGAUAGGUAAUCGGAAGGCAUCUUCUGAUUAUUAAAGGUUAAAAACACUGGUGGAUGGGCUUAUGGCGCAUUAGUUAGUUGGUGAGGUAACGGCCCACCAAGACGAUGAUGCGUAGCCGGCCUGAGAGGGUGAACGGCCACAUUGGGACUGAGACACGGCCCAGACUCCUACGGGAGGCAGCAGUAGGGAAUUUGCGGCAAUGGGGGAAACCCUGACCGAGCAACGCCGCGUGAGUGAUGACGGCCUUCGGGUUGUAAAGCUCUGUUGUAAGGGAGGAACGGUAGAUAGAGAAUAUCUAAAUGACGGUACCUUACCAGAAAGCCACGGCUAACUACGUG